rnacentral:rRNA from 1 species
AGCGCAGACGGCGAUGCAAGUCUGGAGUGAAAGCCCGGGGCUCAACCCCGGGACUGCUUUGGAAACUGUAUGGCUAGAGUGCUGGAGAGGCAAGCGGAAUUCCUAGUGUAGCGGUGAAAUGCGUAGAUAUUAGGAAGAACACCAGUGGCGAAGGCGGCUUGCUGGACAGUAACUGACGUUCAGGCUCGAAAGCGUGGGAGCAAACA